rnacentral:tRNA from 1 species
UGCUUAGCUCAGUAGGUAGAGCAUCGCCCUUACAAGGCGAGGGUCGUAGGUUCGAUCCCUACAGCA